rnacentral:rRNA from 1 species
GCUUGUCUCAAAGAUUAAGCCAUGCAUGUCUAAGUACAAGCCUCAGUAAGGUGAAACCGCGAAUGGCUCAUUAAAUCACACCUAAUCUACUGGAAAGUUACUAGUUACUUGGAUAACUGAGGUAAUUCUUGAGCUAAUACAUGCGAAAAAUCUCGACUCACGGAGAGAUGCUUUUAUUAGAUCAAAACCAAACGGCUUCGGCCGUCUCAUUGGUGACUCUGAAUAACUUCACGAAUCGCAUGGCCUCGUGCCGGCGAUGUUUCAUUCAAAUUUCUGCCCUAUCAACUUUCAACCGUAAGGUAGUGGCCUACGGUGGUGGUAACGGGUGACGGAGGAUUAGGGUUCGAUUCCGGAGAGGGAGCCUGAGAAACGGCUACCACAUCCAAGGAAGGCAGCAGG